GGCAUCGGUGGGGUGGAUCUUGACCUCGACCGCGUUGUCGGCGCGGUAGCUGGUGAUCGUGGCGGUUCCGCCCGGUUCUGCGCUGC
rnacentral:tRNA from 3 species